ACGCUGGCGGCGUGCUUCACACAUGCAAGUCGAACGGAAAGGCCCUUCGGGGUACUCGAGUGGCGAACGGGUGAGUAACACGUGGGUGAUCUGCCCUGCACUUCGGGAUAAGCCUGGGAAACUGGGUCUAAUACCGGAUAUGACCUUGGGAUGCAUGUCCUUUGGUGGAAAGCUUUUUGCGGUGUGGGAUGGGCCCGCGGCCUAUCAGCUUGUUGGUGGGGUUAAGGCCUACCAAGGCGACGACGGGUAGCCGGCCUGAGAGGGUGACCGGCCACACUGGGACUGAGAUACGGCCCAGACUCCUACGGGAGGCAGCAGUGGGGAAUAUUGCACAAUGGGCGCAAGCCUGAUGCCAGCGACGCCGCGUGAGGGACGACGGCCUUCGGGUUGUAAACCUCUUUCAGCACAGACGAAGCGCAAGUGACGGUAUGUGCAGAAGAAGGACCGGCCAACUACGUGCCAGCCGCCGC
rnacentral:rRNA from 1 species